rnacentral:rRNA from 1 species
UACGUAGGGGGCAAGCGUUGUCCGGAAUUAUUGGGCGUAAAGAGCGUGUAGGCGGUCCGGUAAGUCAGCUGUGAAAGUCAAGGGCUCAACCCUUGAAUGCCGGCUGAUACUGUCGGGCUAGAGUCCGGAAGAGGCGAGUGGAAUUCCCGGUGUAGCGGUGAAAUGCGCAGAUAUCGGGAGGAACACCAAUGGCGAAGGCAGCUCGCUGGGACGGUACUGACGCUGAGACGCGAAAGCGUGGGGAGCAAACAGG